AAGGGCAAUGGGAGGGUUAUUGAAAUGUAAGUAUGGAAAAACUUGUUAGAGUUGCAGUCCAGCACGUCCUCUACAAGUGCCUCAUCCGUGAUGCGUCAAAAAGUCGAUGAAAAGGGUUGUAGAGAACAAACACAAGUUGUUUAGCAGAUUGCAUUUUGUGAUCCUUAUUGGGUGGUGGUCCGGCGCUGAAAGACAAUGAUGACGUACCACCUCCUCUUCUGAAGUUGCUGACACCGAUGGAGAAAAAUUGCGGGUAAUACCUAUCUCAACAAUAUGGCGAUGACAACGUUCAACAGUUGCAUUAUGUUCAGGAGUAUGUGGAGGAGUGAGCAGGAACUACCAAAGAAGAAUUUUUCUAAAGAGGAUGAAAUCACUAAAAGCUUGAAAACUUGACGAAGAGUUGGAGAGGAAGGAUUUUUCUAAAGAGGAAUAAAUAUCUAAAAGCUUGAAAACUUGAUGAAGAGUUGGAGAGGACGGAUGACUGAGACGUCGAUGCCAAU
rnacentral:misc_RNA from 1 species